GGGAACUCCUGUUUAUAAAGCCAUCAGCUCUUGUGAGACUUAUUCCCUACCCCAAUAACAGUGUGGGGGAAACUGACCCCUUGAUUCAAUUAUCACCACCUGG